CAGCAGCCGCGGUAAUACGAAGGGUGCAAGCGUUAAUCGGAAUUACUGGGCGUAAAGCGUGCGUAGGCGGUGAGUUAAGUCUGCUGUGAAAUCCCCGGGCUCAACCUGGGAAUGGCAGUGGAUACUGGCUCGCUAGAGUGUGUCAGAGGAUGGUGGAAUUCCCGGUGUAGCAGUGAAAUGCGUAGAUAUGCGGAGGAACACCGAUGGCGAAGGCAGCCCCCUGGGCCAACACUGACGCUCAUGCACGAAAGCGUGGGGAGCAAACAGGAUUAGAUACCCCUGUAGUCCCUGUCUCUUAUAC
rnacentral:rRNA from 1 species